GAUUUCCUGAGUAGCGGCGAGCGAAACGGAACAUAGCCCAAACCAAGAGGCUUGCCUCUUGGGGUUGUAGGACAUUCUAUACGGAGUUACAAAGGAACGAGGUAGACGAAGCGACCUGGAAAGGUCCGUCGUAGAGGGUAACAACCCCGUAGUCGAAACUUCGUUCUCUCUUGAAUGUAUCCUGAGUACGGCGGAACACGUGAAAUUCCGUCGGAAUCUGGGAGGACCAUCUCCCAAGGCUAAAUACUCCCUAGUGAUCGAUAGUGAACCAGUACCGUGAGGGAAAGGUGAAAAGCACCCCGGAAGGGGAGUGAAAGAGAUCCUGAAACCGUGUGCCUACAAAUAGUCAGAGCCCGUUAACGGGUGAUGGCGUGCCUUUUGUAGAACGAACCGGCGAGUUACGAUCCCGUGCGAGGUUAAGCUGAAUAGGCGGAGCCGCCCUCAAAGCUAGUCUGAAUCCUGCGUUUAUUACGUGGCCGUACACCCGAACCUAGGUGAU
rnacentral:rRNA from 2 species